rnacentral:rRNA from 1 species
UCCCGCCUGUUUACCAAAAACAUCGCCUUCUGAUAAGCUAUAGAAGGUCCAGCCUGCCCAGUGACAAAAUUCAACGGCCGCGGUACCCUAACCGUGCGAAGGUAGCAUAAUCACUUGUUCUUUAAAUGAGGACUAGUAUCAACGGCAUCACGAGGACUACACUGUCUCCUCUCUUCAAUCAGUGAAACUGAUCUCCCCGUGAAGAAGCGGGGAUUUAUUUAUAAGACGAGAAGACCCCAUGGAGCUUUAAACCCAAUGUAUAACCCAACACACAAAUCAAUAAAGCCCUGAGGAUCUAUACACUGGUUUUAGGUUGGGGAGACCACGGAGUAAAACUAAACCUCCACAACAAACUGGCUAAAGCCCUGAUCUAUGAACUACAACUCUAAGAGCCAACAAAUUGUUGCCAACGACCCAAUCACUUGAUUAAUGAACCAAGUUACCCUGGGGAUAACAGCGCAAUCUACUUCAAGAGCCCCUAUCGACAAGUAGGUUUACGACCUCGAUGUUGGAUCAGGUAUCCAGUGGCGCAGCCGCUACUAUGGUUCGUUUGUU